AUUGAACGCUGGCGGAAUGCUUUACACAUGCAAGUCGAACGGCAGCACGGACUUCGGUCUGGUGGCGAGUGGCGAACGGGUGAGUAAUGUAUCGGAACGUGCCCAGUCGUGGGGGAUAACGUAGUGAAAGUUACGCUAAUACCGCAUACGAUCUAUGGAUGAAAGCGGGGGAUCGCAAGACCUCGCGCGAUUGGAGCGGCCGAUAUCAGAUUAGGUAGUUGGUGGGGUAAAGGCCCACCAAGCCAACGAUCUGUAGCUGGUCUGAGAGGACGACCAGCCACACUGGAACUGGGACACGGUCCAGACUCCUACGUGAGGCAGCAGUAGGGAAGUUUGGACAAUGGGCGAAAGCCUGAUCCAGCCAUUCCGCGUGCAGGAUGAAGGCCCUCGGGUUGUAAACUGCUUUUGUACAGAACGAAAAGGUUUCUACUAAUACUAGGAGCUCAUGACGGUACUGUAAGAAUAAGCACCGGCUAACUACGUGCCAGCCGCCGCAGUAA
rnacentral:rRNA from 1 species